rnacentral:rRNA from 1 species
UACGAAGGGGGCUAGCGUUGCUCGGAAUCACUGGGCGUAAAGGGUGCGUAGGCGGGUCUUAAGUCAGGGGUGAAAUCCUGGAGCUCAACUCCAGAACUGCUUUUGAUACUGAAGAUCUUGAGUUCGGGAGAGGUGAGUGGAACUGCGAGUGUAGAGGUGAAAUUCGUAGAUAUUCGCAAGAACACCAGUGGCGAAGGCGGCUCACUGGCCCGAUACUGACGCUGAGGCACGAAAGCGUGGGGAGCAAACAGG